CCUACGGGUGGCAGCAGUGAGGAAUAUUGGUCAAUGGCCGGAAGGCUGACCCAGCCAUGCCGCGUGAAUGUCAGUGCCCUAUGGGCGUUAAACUUCUUUUGUGCGGGAGCAAUAAUGGUCACGUGUGGCCAGACCAGAUUACCGUACGCAUAAGCAUCGGCUAACUCUAGGACAGCAGCAGCGGUCACACGGGGGAUGCAAGCGUUAUCCGGAUUUAUUGGUUUUAAAGGGUGCGUAGGCUUUGAGGUAAUUCAGCGGUGAAAUGCCCCCGCUCAACGGGGUGAAGUGCCAUUGAGACUGGCUUGCUGGAAUGCGGAUGCGGUGAGAGGAAUGUGAGGUGUAGCGGUGAAAUGCAUAGAGAUAACACAGAACACCGAUUGCGAAGGCAUCUCACGAAUCCGCGAUUGACGCUGAUGCACGAAAGCGUGGGUAUCAAACAGGAUUAGAUACCCUGGUAGUC
rnacentral:rRNA from 1 species